rnacentral:rRNA from 1 species
CCAGCGUUGUUCGGAAUUACUGGGUGUAAAGGGUUCGUAGGCGGUGCGGCAAGUCGGGUGUGAAAUCUCUGGGCUCAACCCAGAGGCUGCUUCCGAAACUGCUGUGCUUGAGUGUGGGAGAGGCGCGUGGAAUUGCAGGAGUAGCGGUGAAAUGCGUAGAUAUCUGCAGGAACACCCGUGGCGAAAGCGGCGCGCUGGACCACUACUGACGCUGAGGAGCGAAAGCGUGGGGAGCGAACAGG